UGUACACUCACAACAUAUAAGAAUGCUAGAAAGAAUAUGGAAAAAUAAAGGUGUGCAUUUAGGGGAAAACUGUGCAUAAGUGAUUUCAUGUGGCACUGCAGAGAAUGAUCGGCAUACAUGAACGUGGGAGUUCUGCAAGAGCGAUUAGUAUGCACUGGUCUCGAAAUAGUGUCGCGUAACUUUGAUGUCAUACGCUGAUCAGUCUGCGCAGUACUGCAUGAACUACAACACAGUGUGGUGGAGGAGAGCGGGUUUAGCCUCAAAAACAAAAUCUUAACGUUGUCUGUCUGAGGUGACGUCUGCAUUACUCUAGUCUGUCUUACCCUGAAAUUAAAUACCAUGCUCUUGUGUACUUUAUCAGAAUGUUAUUCAUUGGCAAACUUUUACUUUACUAUAUUCUGAUGCAUAAUAUUCUACUUUUCACUCCUCUAAAUUUCAUGAAUAAAAGUACUUUAUUUUUCAUACUAAAGUACAUUAAAAACUUUCUUAUUAAUUCUCAAGUGCAGCUUUUACUUAAGUGAACAUAAUUCAGUACUUUUAAUUUUAAAUAUUAUUAAAUUUGAAAUGUAGUGGAGUAAAAGUAUAUAAAUAGAUAGUUGUUAGGCGUGUGUGUGAGGAAGGAGAUGAACAAUGAAAAAGAUGAACUUCAUGUAAACAAGAGUAGAAUAAACAACGAUGGCAGGUGAUGAUGAUUGGAGACACGAGACGGAAUAGAUGGGGAAAAGAACAGGAGGACAGAUAGGGAGCAUGAUAAUACUUUGCAAAAUUUUCUUGAUUUCAGUAAAAAAUAUUUGAUCAUUGUUUGGUGUAAAUGUAAUUUUGUGGGCCAGAGGUGUAAGCAAAGGGUUCAUAUUUUGACAAUUUUUCUCACAGGUGUACACAUCUAUACUUUAACCUAACCCUAUUGCAUUAUUUAUUCUUAACAGAACAAAUAUGGAUCUUCCCAAAAGGUUUUUUCAUGUUUCUCUUACUUUUGGGUACAAAUUUACAUUGAUACAUAGAUUUUAACCGUAUGAUCAAACCAAUGACUGUUGACAUUACAGGUCCAUAUCACUUUUUGAGGAUAACUGAAACAAUUGUAUACAAUCCAGUACAGUCCAGCACAGAGAAUACAUGUGUACAGUUAUGAGAGGGAAAAGCCUGUAAACAACUAAUAAGUUAUUUAUUUUUGUCAUAUUUUGCCAGGCUUUACAGUAGUCAUUUAACAGUUCGUAAUGGAAUCCAGUCCAGGCUUUACAAUAGUAUUCUUACAGUUUAUGAAAUCCAGUCCAGGCUUUACAAUAGUAUUCUUACAGUUUAUGAAAUCCAGUCCAGGCUUUACAAUAGUAUUCUUACAGUUUAUGAAAUCCAGUCCUGGCUUUACAAUAGUAUUCUUACAGUUUAUGAAAUCCAGUCCAGGCUUUACAAUAGUAUUCUUACAGUUUAUGAAAUCCAGUCCAGGCUUUACAAUAGUAUUCUUACAGUUUAUGAAAUCCAGUCCAGGCUUUACAGUUGUUUUUUUACAGUUCGUUUACGUAAUCCAUGCUAGGCUUUAGUAGUAUUCUUACAGUUUAUGAAAUCCAGUUCAAGAUUAACAAAAAAUUUCUUACAUUUUGUUAUAAAAAUCCAGUCCAGGCUUUAAAGUUGUCAUUUUGCAGUUCGCAAUGAAAUCCAGUACAGGAUUUACAAUAGAAUUAUUACAUUUUGAUAUGGAAUCCAGACCAAGAUUUACAAUAGUAUUCUUACAUUUCAUUAUGAAAUCCAGUACAGGAUUUACAAUAGUAUUCUUACAUUUCCUUAUGAAAUCCAGUACAGGAUUUACAAUAAUAUUCUUGCAUUUCGUUAUGGAUUCCAGUCCAGGCUUUACAAUAGUAUUCUUACAUUUCGUUAUGAAAUCCAAUCCAGGCUUUACAGUUUUUUACAGUUUGUUUACAUAAGCCAUGCUAGGCUUUACAGUAGUCAUUUUACAGUUCGUUACAUUGUAGUGGAAGAUUUUCUAUUUUCAUUUUAAUUAUAGUUUAUGAACUUAUAAUUGUUAAAUGGAAAAUCCUGUUCUUCUGUUCUAGUGAAAGAUUUCUGUUCUUUCCAUCUGUUCAGUAGUAAAAUGUCCAAAGACUAGAACAUUAUGCAAAGUCCUACCAGAUAAGAUAAAGGGGGGCUAGUGAAUGACAUAAGUAACAAAUGAUGAACAAGUGGAAAAACUCAGUAACGGUAGUUUCACUGAGAACAAAAUAAUUUCUUCUAUUUGACCAGAUGUGCUUCAACUGAUACACUGUUAGAUGUCGCUGUAGAUUUAGCAGCACUGUACUGUAAAAAUCCACAGUACUAUACUGUAUGUGUACAUUACAGUACAGUACUGCAGUUCAUAAUGCAUUCUGGGUAAAUUUGUUUGAGCGGGAAAAUUUUACAGUAUAUUUUGGUCUUGAUGUAACCUUGCUGUAGCCAUUGCUGUAAUGUGCCAGGUGUACUUGCAAUAAUCAGAGAAAGUGCGCCAACGUCAAAUCACACAGACAGAGGGAGAGCACAACUCUUGGCUGCAGCUGAAGGAGGACGAUUGAUUUCUGUCAGUUCGUCUUACCAUUGCUUGUAAGUCGGAUUGGGUAAGAUGGAUCAUCUUUAAAGGCACCAGGAGUUAAGGCAGAUGUGGAGGCACAACGGGUGACACCAGACACACACCAAGCACAUUGUUCGGACAUUCAAUCAUGACAUGAUCCAUGUGGAUGCUGUCCAUUGAGGAAAGAGUUUGUUCAGCGGUUUCUGGAUAGAAUUAAUUCCAAAGAUGGGAAAAAGUGCACAUCCAGACAAGGAGCAAGCAAAUAGACAAGGAACUUGGUGCAGAGAAAAGCUGUGGCCAUUGACCCCCAUGUGAACAGCUUCAUGCAGUCCCUGAUUGAGUUCGAAUGGACGACUUCAAAGUAAAGGCCACUGUGGUCUGUCUGCCACAGUUUAAUGCAUUUAUUUUUAGUGUUAAAUGAAAUUCAAGUAGAAUAUUUAAAACUAUGGGCCAGUGUUCUUUUUACCACAGUGAAAUGUUACCUUUUAGUCGAUGAUGGACUUUAAACUGAAAACUUCAAACUAUGGAACAGUGUUCUAUUUGCCAGAGUUAAAUAUGUUACAGCAGGGGUCUCCAAACUUGUUUAUACUUGUUGAUUUUAUUUUAUGUUACUUGAUUAUAUGUUUAUUAUUGUUUAAAAUCUUGUUUUAAAUAUGUUUUGUUUCGAUUAAAUGUUUUUUAAAUAAAAUUUUGAUACAAACAUUGCUUGGAUUGCCUUUUAAUUCAUUAUGUCAUGUCAAGGAUAGCAUUUUUACCAUAUUAAUAACUAUAGAUUUAAACCUAAAUCUCUAGCUAUUUUAUAUAAUAUUAUUGUAUUAACUGUAAUAAGUAAUAAAUAGUAUUUAUGGGUCAAUAUAGACAUUACAGUAAAUUACUGUAAAAAUAGACUACUGUAAUAAAAUAUUGUAAAAUUACAGUAAAGUACUGCUUUGUAACUAUACAGUACUAGUUUGUGUACUGUAAAAUGGUAUUACAGUACAGUACUGUAAAACCAAAAUACAGUAACUUACUGGCAACCGUGCUGCCAGUACCGUACUGUAAAAAUACAGGGAA